rnacentral:rRNA from 1 species
UGAAUACGAGACGCUAAGGCGUCGAAGUAGUGUAUGUCAUACUUCCAAGAAAAGCUUGCACUGUCAUAGAUAAAAAACGCCUGUACCAUAACCGACACAGGUGGGUAGGUAGAGUAUACUAAGGGGCGCGAGAUAACUCUCUCUAAGGAACUCGGCAAAAUAACUCCGUAACUUCGGGAGAAGGAGUGCCUUAUUAUUAAGGCUGCAAUAACAAGAUCCAAGCAACUGUUUAUCAAAAACACAGGUCUCCGCUAAGUCGUAAGACGAUGUAUGGGGGCUGACGCCUGCCCAGUGCCAGAAGGUUAAAGAAGUUGGUUAGCAUUUGCGAAGCUGAUAACUGAAGCCCUGGUGAACGGCGGCCGUAACUAUAACGGUCCUAAGGUAGCGAAAUUCCUUGUCGGGUAAGUUCCGACCCGCACGAAAGGCGUAAUGAUUUGGAUACUGUCUCGGAGAGGGGCUCGGUGAAAUAGACUUGUCUGUGAAGAUGCGGACUACCUGCACCAGGACAGAAAGACCCUAUGAAGCUUUACUGUAACUUGAAAUUGAAAUUGGACUUUAUUCGCGCAGCAUAGGUGGGAGGCGUUGAUUAUAAUCUUGUGGGAUUAUUGGAGCCAUCAGUGAGAUACCACUCUUGUAAUGUUAGAUUUCUAACUUUGAAUCAUUAUCUGGUCAAAGAACAGUUUCAGGCGGGCAGUUUGACUGGGGCGGUCGCCUCCUAAACGGUAACGGAGGCGUACAAAGGUUUCCUCUGAACGGUUAGAAAUCGUAUCUAGAGUGUAAAGGCAUAAGGAAGCUUGACUGUGAGACCUACAAGUCGAGCAGGGACGAAAGUCGGUCUUAGUGAUCUGACGGUACUGAGUGGAAAGGCCGUCACUCAACUGAUAAAAGUUACUCUAGGAUAACAGGCUGAUCUCCCCCAAGAGUUCACAUCGACGGGGAGGUUUGGCACCUUGAUGUCGGCUCAUCGCAUCCUGGGGCGGUAGUACGUCCCAAGGGUUGGGCUGUUCGCCCAUGAAAGCGGUACGCGAGCUGGGUUCAGAACGUCGUGAGACAGUUCGGUCCAUAUCCGGUGUAGGCGUUAGAAUAUUGAGAGGAGCCUUCUUUAGUACGAGAGGACCGAGAAGGACAUACCUCUGGUGUACCAGUUAUCGUGCCAACGGUAAACGCUGGGUAGCUAUGUAUGGAGUGGAUAACCGCUGAAAGCAUCUAAGUGGGAAGCCCACCUCAAGAUAAGUAUUCUCAU